rnacentral:tRNA from 1 species
UACAUUUUAGUAUAUGAGGUAUAAAAGUUUUUGAUACUUUAGGGAAUAGUUUAAUUCUAUUAAAUGUAA